rnacentral:misc_RNA from 1 species
CAGAGUUAUACAACUCCCAUACCAUCUGUUAACCUACCCAGUUAUGCCUCGGCGUAAGCUCGGUUGGAGGCACCUGCAGCUACCCUGUAGUUGCGGACUGCCGACUCCAGCCGCGGCCCGCCGGCGGUACGCUAAACUCUGUUUUAUUUUAUAUUCUGAGCGUCUUAUUUUAAUAAGUUA